rnacentral:rRNA from 1 species
CAGUAGCCGCGGUAAUACAGAGGGUGCAAGCGUUAAUCGGAAUUACUGGGCGUAAAGCGCGCGUAGGUGGUUUGUUAAGUUGGAUGUGAAAGCCCCGGGCUCAACCUGGGAACUGCAUCCAAAACUGGCAAGCUAGAGUACGGUAGAGGGUGGUGGAAUUUCCUGUGUAGCGGUGAAAUGCGUAGAUAUAGGAAGGAACACCAGUGGCGAAGGCGACCACCUGGACUGAUACUGACACUGAGGUGCGAAAGCGUGGGGAGCAAACAGGAUUAGAUACCCCUGUAGUCCCUGUCUCUUAUAU